rnacentral:rRNA from 1 species
AUUGAACGCUGGCGGCAGGCCUAACACAUGCAAGUCGAACGAGUGGAGGCCGGGUGAGUAAUGUCUGGGAAACUGCCUGAUGGAGGGGGAUAACUACUGGAAACGGUAGCUAAUACCGCAUACCAUCGGAUGUGCCCAGAUGGGAUUAGCUAGUAGGUGGGGGAACGGCUCACCUAGGCGACGAUCCCUAGCUGGUCUGAGAGGAUGACCAUCCACCCUGGAACUGAGACACGGUCCAGACUCCUACGGGAGGCAGCAGUGGGGAAGAUUGCACAAUGGGCGGAAGCCAGAUGCAGCCAUGCAGCGUGUAUGAAGAAGGCCUGCGGGUUGUAAAGUACUUUAAGCGGGGAGGCGUUACCCGCAGAAGAAGCACCGGCUAACUCCGUGCCAGCCGCCGCGGUAAUUC